GCACCUGCUGGCUCUGCCCGUGUAUCUCCUAUACCUAAAGGAAAUUCAAAGUUCAUUUAUAUAAUGCCUUGCCUUUACUGUCCCACAUGGAAUUUACUCCAUCCCUCAACUGACAUGAAGAUUUUUGUUAUGAAGAUUUGAGAAAGACCCUGUAACCCUGCCUGGGGAGCCAAGUUGGAACCUCCUCUGCAGCCUUCCCAGUGCCCAAGCUGUGCAUGCAAUGGAGUAUUUGACAUUACUGUGAGUCAGGAGGCAGAAAUUUUCCUUCAGAUGGGGCUGAAGAGUCCAGUCCUAAGGUCAUAUGCACUGGUUCCUUGGGAGAAACAAAGAGUUCUCCUCUUUUAAUGCAUGCCUACGAAAUCAGAGACCACUGCAAACCCUUGACCAUUUCUCUUUCUAGUUCAGCCCUGGAGUAGGCAAGAUCACUCCUGCUCUCUAUUCUUCUUUGCAGUAU